rnacentral:rRNA from 1 species
CCUACGGGUGGCAGCAGUGGGGAAUAUUGCGCAAUGGGCGAAAGCCUGACGCAGCGACGCCGCGUGAGGGAUGAAGGUCUUCGGAUCGUAAAACUCUGUUAGCAGGGAAGAACGGUCAAUGUGCUAAUCAGCAGUGCAUUGACGUUACCUGCAAAGGAAGCCCCGGCUAACUCCGUGCCAGCAGCCGCGGUAAUACGGAGGGUGCGAGCGUUAAUCGGAAUGACUGGGCGUAAAGCGCUCGUAGGCGGUAUGUCAAGUCUAGGGUGAAAUCCCCGCGCUCAACGUGGGAAUUGCCUUUGAAACUGGCAAACUUGAGUGUGUGAGAGGAUGGUGGAAUUCCAGGUGUAGGGGUGAAAUCCGUAGAUAUCUGGAAGAACAUCAGUGGCGAAGGCGGCUAUCUGGCACAUAACUGACGCUGAGGAGCGAAAGCGUGGGUAGCAAACAGGAUUAGAUACCCGGGUAGUC